ensembl:lncRNA
AUGGUGCAGUCCUCACUGCAGGAACCAUCGCGGUGGCCAGGCCUGCAGGGGCAAGCACAGCUCCAGUUCCCAGCCAGGGCACCAGUGAGAAGAGCCAGGGAGGGGCUGCCUGACCGGAGCAACGCCCCUGCAAGAGAGGCGGCCCUGGAGGCAAACUGGUGGGGGAGGGGCCUAAGUGCUCUCAUCCCACUUCCCUCCCUGGCCUCCCACUGGCCCAGCCCCAGGGAAGCCAGAGGCCGGGUGGAGAGGAGUGGAGGUGAAGAUAUCAGAGAGUUGGGGCUGAGAACCACUGAGAAAGACUUGCUGAGGAUGACCUUAGAAGGAAGGACACCGUUAUGCUAAGACUAGAGGGAGAAUGGCUACAAUGUAGGUGAGUUUACAGUGAAAGCCAGAAAGCUGUGGGAUUUAAAAUUAAUUUUCUCAAUGAAGCAGGCCAGGUUAUCUGCUGAGAGACAACGAUGGGGGUAAGUCUUAUACGUAUUUUACACCAUCUGUCUGUGAAACUAGGAUACUAGUACUUUUCAUAGCCUGCAUGAGUAGGGGCUGUAUUAGGGCUUUUUUUCCUCUCCUUCCUUUCCCAAAAAAUUCAGCACCAGCCCUCAACAACAUUAAAAUUAAAAUAAUUUAUUUUUAGUCUUAACCAAACAAAUCAAUUCCCUACUUUUUCCUCCUUGAUAUAAUCUGAGCCACGUUGCUAGUCAAGCUGCCUGGAUAGUAUUUGGGUUCCUCUCUGGCAUGCCUUCAGCAACUUUACUUUCAAUCCCUUAAAAAACAAAACCAAACUAUAAUUUAGUGACAUGUUUGGCAAAACAAAUACAAAGCGUAUUGGGCAGCAAUUUAAAAAAACAGAUUGGCAGAUAUAAAUAUAAUAUGUGUGCACCCCAGGCUUCCUCCCUAAAACUCAGUUCUUCUGAGAACCCAAAGGGAUGGGAUCAUAAAACAGUAUUUUAGCUUCAGCAAACAUGUAUUAAUAGGUUCUUCUCACCAUUCCUAUUCAUUUGCUUUGGAAAAUUUAGAAUGUUUUGCUACUUAGGUGGAGCCAAGUUUUUUGCUUUUGUUUUUUAUGGAUAACCUGGGGUACAGCAGUCUGAUGACUUAGUCACAUGUUACUGUAACUGAAACAGUAAGACCCAUUCAUAGAGAUGUCAGCACAUAUUAAACCCAUAAUAAAUAUUUUUGGAUAAUUAUGAAUCUUAGAAAUUAUUUACUUGGCAUUUAUGCCUCCUUUAGUGAUAGCCACUAUGGAGGGGUAUUUCUCAUUCUUUUUGGGUUCUUAUCCUAUUUUUGAAUCAUUUUUGAUGACACAGGGAGGGUAGAAGUUAUAAACUGGCAGCUCACAGAAUGUGUUCUGAUGGUCCUCUUCUAAAAGUUUGGAUCAGGUGACAUUUAAAAAUUAGGUGAUUUCACACAAGAAUUCAGAUUGCUGGCUUCUCUUGAAAAAGUGGGCGAUGUGGUAACUUGGCUAGGCACGCCAACGAUGGGUGCAUGCUUCAUGGGGCUCCCCCUUCAGACCAGGCCUACCUUCCCCAGUUCCCCACCGCCCCUGCCCCUCACCUUUGUGUCUGGUUUCUGGAAGCACUUGAAUUUGAGACCAGACCCCUAUGUGAGGCCAACUGCCAGCUGCUCAUGGUGAAUGGCUAAUUAUAUUGUCAUGGUCACUGUGUUUGUUUCCUCCAGUGACACUAGGGCUGGAGUAUUACUUGUUUUGUGUGCUUGUGUGUCUAUAGCCCUGUGCCUGGCACAAAAACACUCAAGAAAAUUUGAUGAAUGAAUCUAGGAGGCUCAAUUCUUUGCAAGCAUUUGGCUACCUAUGAAGAAACUGAAGUCACAGUGUCAGAUCCUCGGGUAGAGAGUGUAGAAAUCCAGAGUAAGAGAUUAGUCCAACCUGCUUGUGAGGAUAGGCUGGUGUUCACGUGCAUUUCUUGGCAGAUUAGUCCUGAAAUGCUGAUGCAAUGGCUCUUUUGAGUCACAAUAUGCAUACCAAAGGCUAUGAGGAAUUCUGGAGUAAAACAGGAGCAAAGAACUUGUUUUAUUUAGUCUAACCGAAUGCUUCCUAAAUCUUCAUCUACCAUUUCACUAUUUUGACACCCAAUCUUUGAUUUUCUGACAUCUGUUCCCAGAUGUACUCAAUGGCAAGUUAUUUUUUUUAAUGAUGGUGAAAUUAAAGUGUCCUGGUUAAGGCAAUUUUGUAAGAAUUUUGUGGCAGUCCCAUAGGCCCCUGGGAUCUUCCCUAGGGUAUUGCUAAAACAGCAUUGGGAAACAUGGUUCACUGUAGUCUUAUUGAAAGUCAGGGUUAAACUAUUUUUCUUCUUUGGCUGGCCAUACAUCUCUGCAGAUACAAUAGCUUACAUUUGUAUGACAUUUUAUAGUUUAGAUUAUCACAUGCAUUAUCUCAGUUUCUCCUCAAAACAACGGGAACUGUAGGCAUCAUUACUCCAUUUGCUUGCUUAAGGCCCUAAGCUAGCCAGAGGCAAUGUCUAGAUCUAAACUCUUUCUUCUAGAUCUGCUGCUCUGCUGGUACCUCCAACGGAUUUUUCCUUGAACACAUUAUUUAGCUUUUGGGCCAAAUCACAGUGUUGGCUGGAAAUUUCUGUGAUUUGGUGGGGUGGGGGUGGGGGCGCGGGUUGUAAUCUCUCCCGGCAAAGUAAAAUACUGAUUGCUGUUCUGUAGUGAAGCAUCAGAGAUCACCAGGGGAAGGCGCUCAGAUUGGACCUCCAGGGCUUGGAAGGCACACAGCGACGUCAGAUCCCCUUGAAGAGUCCAGAACACAGGCGAGCUGGGGCUGACCUGGGCCUCUUGCUCCUUCACCUACAAUCUUUCCCAGUCUCCACUGUGCCUCGGGGCCUCAAAUACCAUCUGCGUCCAAACGUUUUCUCUAAGGAGUUGCAAUCUUGCCUCUUACUUCCCUGUCCUACAGGAGGAGCCACUCAAGUGAAAAGCUCACGAGCGGAAAGGGCCUCCUCCAAGCCCGUGUGGGAACCUUUAACGGGCUGGGCAGGGGCCACUUGCUCAGCUUUUGCAGAUCCUGGGUCCAGAAGCGCCAGGACACUGGCGGGUAGCGCUGCGGGGAUCCGAGUUCCACAGCUUCCAGCUCCGGGGAAGGGGAGGAGAGGAGCCUUCACCUCUACCGGUGUCCCCCUUCCCUGAGGGUCCCCCUUGCCUGAGGGGAGAGGACGAGAAGAGACAGAGGGAGAGGGAAGAGAGGGGGAGAAGGAGGACUGGAGAGGGAAGGGGAGAUGAGGGAGAGAAAGGGAGGAGGAAGCGAAAGAAAAGGG